UGCCAUGUUCCUGAACACACUGACUUCCAUCAGCUCUCAGGAAGCAGCAGUGUGGGACAGAGCUUACAGGGCUGCCAGGCAGUGACUGCCAGCGACACCACCUCACACUGCACUCCUUUAGUGCUGUCAGUCACUGUGAAGCCAGGGAUGUGCACUGUAGUCCCAGGAAUUGCCAUUAAUUGUGGUCACUCAUGCAGGCUGGGGGGCUGCUGGGGAAUCUGAGUUAUUAUGGAAAAGGCAAGGCUCAGCAGGAAACUGGGGAGCAAGUGUAAGUCCUGCGGAUGAAUGCGUCCAGCCAGAAUCUGGAGCAAAGGACACAGGAAGGACAAACAAACUCAAAGUACAACAGGGGCCAUGCAGCGUGGGAUGGGCGGAGCGGGGAGCAGAGCUGGCUCUCGGCAGCAUGGACGCACCGGCAAUCUUCACGGAGGCGGAUUUUUACCAGCAGAAUUUCGACCCUCAGGCAUAUCUGAAAGAAUAUUACAGCAUGAGUGACAGCCGGGAAGGGGCAAAUGUGUUUCUGACGCAAAACUUGAAGAGCCUGCACAAAAUGUUCUCCUUAGACGAGCUGAGAGGUGGCACCCUGAUAGAUGUCGGCUGUGGCCCCACCAUCUACCAGCUUCUGUCUGCUUGUGAGCGCUUCCAGGAGAUUAUUGCCCUGGACUACACCGACCAGAACCGCCGGGAGCUGGAGCGGUGGCUGAGGAACGAAGCAGGAGCCUUUGACUGGGUGCCGGUGGUGAAAUACGUCUGUGAGCUGGAAGGGGACAGGGAGAAGUGGGCUGAGAAACAGGAGAAAGUGAGGAAGAAGGUGAAGCAGGUUCUGAAGUGUGACGUGACCAGAGCCAACCCCACGGGCGCUGUGUCCCUGCCACCAGCCGACUGCAUCGUCUCCACCCUGUGCCUGGAGGGCGCCUGCAAGGACCUGCCCACCUUCCGCAGCGCCCUGAGGAACAUCGGGACCCUCGUGAAGCCGGGGGGGCACCUGGUGCUGGUGACCGUCCUCGGGGAAACCUACUACGCCUUCAACAAGCAGGUUUUCUCGUGCCUCCGCCUGGAGAAAGACGAGGUGGAGGCGGCUGUGGAGGCUGCUGGCUUUGAGGUGACGUUCAGCGAGGCGCAGCCGUACACGGCCUGAGCCCGGCAGGACCUGCACGUGGAACGAGCCCUGAUGGCACACGAGCCUCACACGCUCCCAGCCGAGCCCGAGGGGAGCCGGGGAGGGGAAGGAAGGCACGGCAAGGCAAACGAGGCUCCAGGGAAAUUAAGGCAAAGUGGAAGUCCUGGCAAAGCGAGGUGCGGUGGCGAGUAAUGGGGUGGAGAGAAUGAACGGCACCCAAUUAACAGGGAAAGCAGAGCUGUGCUGGGACCUAAUGAGAAAUGAAGGCUCAACUGCCCCCUCUCGAAAUUCCUCCAGAUGGAAAACGCCCGUUUUACAUCCCGCAUCUUCUGGGAUUCCCAGGGGAUUACAGUGGCUGGGGAGAUUCAACAGCAGGGGCAGGGGAGCCGCCCGUUUGGGGGUUUUUAACCUGCGCCCCGGGUUUUAACCGGCUGGCUCCGACCCCCUCGGUUUCCCAACAGGAAUAACAGGGAAAGGGGGAACGCCCGGCACCAGCCGCGCGGUGUCACCGCCUGGACGCAGGUGCUGUCACGACACCGGGACACGCAACACAUCCACGAUUCCCUCGCGACAAACGGGGUUUAUUGCCGGUUGUUAGUUGAUUACAGGUUAUCAGUUAAUUCCCGAGGCCCGGGAGGGCGCGGGGCAGCGGGGCGGGACUCCGCACAUCCCGUGUCCCCCGGGGAGGAGCGGGGCCGUCCCGCCGGGAUUCCGCCCCCGAGGCCGCGGCCCCGUUCCCGUCCCCUUUCCAAAUUCCCAUUCCCUUUCCCAAUUCCCAUUCCCGUUCCCUUUCCCAAUUCCCAUUCCCGUUCCCUUUCCAAAUUCCCAUUCCCUUUCCCAAUUCCCAUUCCCGUUCCCUUUCCCAAUUCCCAUUCCCGU